rnacentral:rRNA from 1 species
AUUGAACGCUGGCGGCAUGCUUUACACAUGCAAGUCGAACGGUAACAGGCCUUCGGGCGCUGACGAGUGGCGAACGGGUGAGUAAUGCAUCGGAACGUGCCCAGUCGUGGGGGAUAACUAUCCGAAAGGAUAGCUAAUACCGCAUACGAUCUGCGGAUGAAAGCGGGGGACCUUCGGGCCUCGCGCGAGUGGAGCGGCCGAUGUCAGAUUAGGUAGUUGGUGGGGUAAAGGCUCACCAAGCCAACGAUCUGUAGCUGGUCUGAGAGGACGACCAGCCACACUGGGACUGAGACACGGCCCAGACUCCUACGGGAGGCAGCAGUGGGGAAUUUUGGACAAUGGGCGCAAGCCUGAUCCAGCAAUGCCGCGUGCAGGAAGAAGGCCUUCGGGUUGUAAACUGCUUUUGUACGGAACGAAACGGCUCUGGUUAAUACCCGGGGCUAAUGACGGUACCGUAAGGAUAAGCACCGGCUAACUACGUGCCAGCAGCCGCCGUAACAC